ACGGCACGGGNGCUUNUCCUGCCGAGAGUGNGACGGGUGAGUAAUGCAUCCCUGCGUGCCCCCGUCGGGGGGNAAACGCAUGCCAAGGGACGCUAUUACCUUUAACCUCCUGAGGGAGAAUGUGGGGCCUUCUGCGACCCCUUUGGCGUGGGGGGAUGGCGAUGCGUUUUAUUUANUUGGGGGGGGGAUGGCCCCCCACCAGGAAAACGCUGGCUCGGGUGUAAGAGAGGAACGCCCCCCUCGGGGCUAAAAAAACACCCAACACCCUCCGGGGGGAGGCAGGAGGGAAUUUUUUUCAUUGGGGGAAACCCUCCCCAACCAUCCCCCCCGGGUGAAAAAAGACCUUCCGUUUGUAAAUUUUUUUUUUUGGGGAGAAAAGACCCGCCCAAUAGCAAGGGGGGAGGGACGCAAUGAAUAAAUAAAG
rnacentral:rRNA from 1 species